GUACACGCUGUGACUAGCAUAUCAAUAAGCGGAGGAAAAGAAACUAACAAGGAUUCCCCUAGUAACGGCGAGUGAAGCGGGAAGAGCUCAAAUUUGAAAUCUUAAAGGGUUUCCCUUUACGAAUUGUAGUUUAAAGAAGUGUUUUCUGUUGAGGUUUUGGUAAAAGUUCUUUGGAAUAGGACAUCAUAGAGGGUGAGAAUCCCGUAUUUGACCUUUACUUUCAACUUUGUGAUACACUUUCAAAGAGUCGGAUUGUUUGGGAAUGCAGUCCAAAAUGGGCGGUAAAUUUCAUCUAAAGCUAAAUAUUGGCGAGAGACCGAUAGCGAACAAGUACCGUGAGGGAAAGAUGAAAAGAACUUUGAAAAGAGAGUUAAACAGUACGUGAAAUUGUCAAAAGGGAAGCGUUUGACACCAGUGUUGUUUUUCUGAAAAUCAAUUAAAGAACUGUUUAUGCUAAGUUGUUUAGACUUUAUUAGCUAUCUGCUUAGUUUUGAGCUUUUCUUUAAUGCACUUUUCAGUUAACAAGUCAACAUCAAUCUCUUUUGCUGUAAAAAAGCUUGAGGAAGGUGGCUUGAGAUUCGUCUUAAGUGUUUAUAGCCUCUUGCCUAUGCAGUCGGAGAGAUUGAGGUCUGCAGCGUAGAUCCUUCGGGGCUAAAUGCAUUUGUGCUAAGUUAUAGCAUUUUAUAGACAACUUGUUGACUAUGAUUUGUCUUGUAGCUUACUCGCUUAUGUUAUUCUACCUACGCUUAGGAUGUUGACGCAUGAGAUAUACGC
rnacentral:rRNA from 1 species